AUCCCUCCCCUUCUCUGCAUACAAACCAAGCUCCAUCUCUCUCUCUCUCCUGCCAUGUCCGGCCGUCGCCGUCGUCGGUCGAUCUCUUUCUCUAUAGCUCCCCUAUCAAUUUCCUCGCACCUCCGGCUUUGCCUACCUCCGACAACUCCAUUUUGCCCCUUUCCCCCUUCUCUUCCCCUUUGAAUCAAGUCACCACCGUCUCCACCCAUGCCGGCCGGAGGUGAGCCCUUACCGUCGCCGUUCCGGCCUUAUCUCUCACUCCUUCUACCAGCCAACGGCCUCCCCAGGUGCGUGGUGCUAGGGAACACCACCCGCCGCCGGCGUCGCCGCCAUCCAGCCACCGGAGCACCGGCGCCCCACCUCCCUCCCUCUUCUCUGUUGCCGGCAAGAAAGAGAAGAAGAAAGGAACGGGAGGAAGAAGGAGAGAAGGAAAAAGAAGAAGAAAAAGAAAAGCCUGACAGUAGAGUCUAUUAUCUUUUGGAUGGCAACUUGUGAUGUUUUGAGGAUCGGAUAAUUAGGUUGCCUAUCUUGGAUUUGUUUGCGUUGGAGCAAGGCAAGUUAUUAUUCCUCCCCUUUGAGCAUUAUUAUCCUAUAUUCUAUAUCUCUAUUAUUCCAUGCAUUAGCCAUUCAUGAUUUUAAAUGCAUAACUUGAACAUAUAGUAAACCAGAUAUAUGCUAGAUUUUGCUUAGCCAUGCCUAGUUAGAUUGCAUAAAAUAUAAUGAACUUAGAUUGGAACAGUAUGGUAGAAAUGGUUGAUUUUCGGGUGGCUAGUACUGUUCCAACCGACAUAAGAUUGCCAAGUACAUGUGAAGAACGAACUAGUACGACCGCAAUUCUAGAAUGGGGACAGACUUAGCAAAGUAGGUUAUCUAGCAAAGGUGGUACCUCUGUACAGUGGUUCUUCUUUAAGUCCUUGCGCAGGAGGCAAAUUUACGCCGAGCAGAGCGAUUAUAAUAUUUACCGAGACGCAGGUAAAUAUAUUGAUUAUUGCGCACUGUGUGUGUAUUGUGAAAACCUGGUUGGGAUGACGGGGGUCUCUCAACCAGUUCUCUCUAAAGACCUCGGGAACGCCAGAACUCCUCUCGCUGCUGAUAACGUUACGUUCAGAGCGCGUGGGGAUUAUAGUUCAUGGAACAGGUACCGUUGAUGUUAGUAACCGAAAAGCUUUGCCAUGACUAAGCUGAUGAAUAUUAGCAUGUCAUGGAUUGCGGGUAAAGCGUACAUCUACUGCAGUAUGAGUAUCUCUGAAACUAUUCGAAUAGCCGUGCUCACGGAUAUUGAGCAUCGGGACUCACUAUGGCAUCUUGGUUAGAAAUAUAACUCCAGAUUUUAUUAAAUAUUGUUGCAUUUCAAAACAUUAUAGACUUUCUCCUUCUACUUUCUCAGCUUUCUGCAAAUAGAUCUAGCUCUACUCAAAUACUAUUAUUUCAUACAUUCAUACUUGAAUAUAAUAGCUUGCUGAGUACGUUGUACUCACCCUUACUUUAACCCCCUUCUUUCAGAGUUAAUUUGGAGUUCUUGCCGAAGCCGAGAGUUCAAUCAUAUAAGUUAGUUUUCAUUUCAAUCUAGUUCUCAAGUCUAGAUUAGUUAGAUGGUUUAAGUCUAUAGCAAUACACUAGAGUUGGUUUAUUCUAUAGCUUCUGCUGUAUUAGUUAGCCACAAGUUUGUAAAUACCCAUAUAUUUUGUAAUAACAUCUCCUUUGGAGCCUUAUUCAAAUGUAUGCAAUGAAGAUCCAGAUUGUUGAACCUGUAUCAAUCUACUGAUCCAGGGCUUGAUACAGUUAAA